GCUUAAAUUUUCUCAUAGUUAGCUUUUAAAAUCUUCAUUACCAAUAUUUAGUUUUAUAAGACAUAGUAAAACCUUAUAUUACUAAAUGUUUAGAUCAGUUUUUACUUUUUCAAAAGACUUAGAGUAGUAGUUUUGCUUCAUUCCUAUGGCCUAUAAUUGGCAGUGAGCUAUAUUGUCACUUAAAAAUCAGUACUUUUAUCAUCAGUUAUCCUACAUUCUACCAGUGCAAAAUGCAUUCAUUAUUUAAAGCCUUCCUUGUAUAUUAUGAUCAUUUCAAAUUGUAUUUUCCAAAGAGCUUUUAUAAAUCUUUUGCGGAAAUGAUAUAACAUGAAAAAGAUGAGGAAAACUGGGAUGCAAAUUUUAGUUAAAUGUUAGCACUCAUGUUAUUGAAAAAAGUCAUUUAACUUUGUGUGUUACUGUUUCUGCCUUUGAAAUGGUGUCUCUACCUAAUGUAAGCAAGUAGUGGGAUCCAAAAGAAAUACAUUUUCCAUGUUUGUUUCAGUCUCACAAAGUUCUUUUCCAGCUAGCAUUUUCCUUUGAAGAACAGAAGACCCAAAGAGGGAAAACUUACUCUGGGCCCUGUUUAGAGUCUGGAAUAGGGUUAACUCAAGGAAAAGUCAACUGUUGCUUAGAGUCGCCAAUUCUGAGUACUCUCAAGAAUAAUACUUCAAAGAAAGUGUACCAACACUCCUCAAAAUCCAAGCACAAUUCUGUGAAUCCCAAAUCACUGGAUCAAAAGCAAUGUCAACUUCAGAUUAAAACUUAUACCAAACCAGGCAGAACACAAAACUGCCUAAAGAACUCUCCAAACUGAAUAGAAACAUCAAUUAAAAAUUUGAAAAGAUUUGAACAGAUGCUUCCCCAAAGGAGACAUAGUAAUGACAAGUACAUGAAAAGAUAGUUUUAUCAAUCACUUGGGAAAUGCAAAUUAAAAUCACAGUGACAUAGGACUACACACCUACUAGAAUGACCAAAUUUAGUAAUAUUGACUGUGCAAAGCAUUGAUGAAAAUGUGGAGGAAUUCAUGUACUCAUUCACUUCUGAUGGGCAUACAAAAUGAUUAAAACCAUUUUAGAACACAAUUUGACAGC
ensembl:lncRNA